GGGGGGAUAGCGAAGUGGCCAAACGCAGAUGACUGUAAAUCAUUUCCCAUCGGGUUCGGCAGUUCAAAUCUGUCUCCCCCCACCA
rnacentral:tRNA from 1 species